AUGAAUGAAACAACAGAGUCCUGUCUAUCGGCCCCAAGCGAGCGUUUCUCACCAGCUGUCCUGGUAGCGGCGCCCCCCCUCCAUCCCUCCCCCCCACCUUUCAGUCUAACUCAACUAAGCGGUGUGCUGAUGCUGCUCUGCGGGGUCUGUAGCAGCACCUCCUGCACCCCUCGUUUGGGAAAUCAGGACCCGAGGAGGUCUCUCCGCCAAUCCAUAGGGACACGCAAGUCGUCGGCGCGCAACCUGAGGCAGCAAAACCAGCCAAGCCGGGUAGGACUCUCCGCUGCUGCACGCCGCCGGCCGGAGCUGGACUUUUCCAGGGUGCUUCUCGCCGCCGCCGCCGGGCUGAAGGCAAAUUCGCGCUUGUUGGCCCCGAAGUUCUCGCAGGAGGCCGGAUCAGACAAUCUGCGCGCUGCAUAAGAUGAUUUCCUGAUCAAUGAACAAAAAGAGAUGCUUGCGUUCUGUUUAGAAACACUUUCUUUUUCACCAGGGUGAGGAAGAGGUGACUGUCAUUCGUCUUAUACCUCAAAAUGAAAUGUUUCAAGAGUGAGCAAGUUUGGAUUGCAAGGACAGUCAGGGCACCAAUUUUAUCACUUGAGACAACGAUUGUCCAGGCAAAAGUUCUUCGCUGGAAAACAGGUGACAGUUUUGGCCUAAGGCUACAAGCAAAGAAAAGGAGCAUCAUUCGUCUGCCUUCCUUUGCCUCCGUCUCCCCUCCCUUUGUGCCUUUCACAUUGAUGAAUAAUUCAUAAAGGCAUCUUUAGCGCAAGGUAUCUUCUGUUGCCCAGAGAAGUAAGAUGGAGUAACUUUUAGCCGCUGUUCUCAGUGUAUCAGGCUCUGUUAAACAUCUGAAAUGUCACAUCACCAAACGUAGGGUGAUUCUGCACUGGCUGGUAUACUGGGCCAGCAAGCAUACUAGGAGUCUCCUUUCUGCACAUCUUGACCGAGGUCUCCCUUAGAUCACAGCAGCUCCUAGCUGGAAGGGAGGCUCUGAGCACACUUGCUGGCAUGGUAUAGGGCUUAUAGCUUUCAGGGGAAUUUGGAUCUGUUUUUUAAUUGACAAGACUUACUUCUCAGGUAACUAUGUUUAGAAUCAGGACCCAGAACCAUUCACUGUGAAGAUGUGCCUCCUAGCUGAUCCUUAAAAAAUAAGCCCCUAAUACCAGAUGAAAAAUGGUUCAGCUGUUGCAAUAUGUGGUCUUAAUACUUUCAGGCAAAUGGCUCCCUCCCACUUCAAAUUUUGAUCUCUCCUCCAGUUAUGCAGGUAGUGAGCAGAUUCAUAAAAGUAAUUUGUACAGGAGUCUUUCCCACUUUGGGUGCGUAAGCUGGGUGCAUUUAUAAAGGCAUGAUAACCACAGCAACCCAGAAAAGCCAUCUCAUAAUAUACAGAAGGGCUAUCAACUUAUCAAAUAAAACAGAAAUAAAAACCA
rnacentral:lncRNA from 1 species